UACGGGGGGGGCAAGCGUUGUUCGGAAUUACUGGGCGUAAAGGGUGCGUAGGCGGUCUUCUAAGUCAGUUGUGAAAUACUUCAGCUUAACUGGAGAGGUGCAAUUGAUACUGGAAGACUUGAGUACUGAUGAGGUAGGCGGAAUGGACGGUGUAGCGGUGAAAUGCUUAGAUAUCGUCCAGAACACCGAUAGCGAAGGCAGCUUACUAAGGAGUAACUGACGCUGAGGCACGAAAGUGUGGGGGAUCAAAACAGG
rnacentral:rRNA from 1 species